rnacentral:rRNA from 1 species
UAGGGAAUAUUGGGCAAUGGAUGCAAGUCUGACCCAGCCAUGCCGCGUGCAGGAAGAAGGCCCUCUGGGUUGUAAACUGCUUUUGUUAAGGAAGAAGAGACCUCUUGCGAGGGGUUGUGACGGUACUUGAUGAAUAAGCACCGGCUAACUACGUGCCAGCAGCCGCGGUAAUACGUAGGGUGCAAGCGUUGUCCGGAUUUAUUGGGUUUAAAGGGUGCGUAGGUGGUUUUUUAAGUCAGUGGUGAAAGCG